rnacentral:rRNA from 1 species
UACGUAGGGAGCAAGCGUUGUUCGGAUUUACUGGGCGUAAAGGGCGCGUAGGCGGCAAAUUAAGUCAGCUGUGAAAUCUCCGAGCUUAACUCGGAACGGUCAGCUGAUACUGAUCUGCUAGAGUGCGGAAGGGGCAAUCGGAAUUCUUGGUGUAGCGGUGAAAUGCGUAGAUAUCGGGAGGAACACCAGUGGCGAAGGCGGCUUCCUGGCCUGCAACUGACGCUGAGACGCGAAAAGCGUGGGGGAGCGAACCGG